ACACAUGCAAGUCGAGGGGCAGCAUGGUCUUAGCUUGCUAAGGCCGAUGGCGACCGGCGCACGGGUGAGUAACACGUAUCCAACCUGCCGUCUACUCUUGGACAGCCUUCUGAAAGGAAGAUUAAUACAAGAUGGCAUCAUGAGUCCGCAUGUUCACAUGAUUAGAGGUAUUCCGGUAGACGAUGGGGAUGCGUUCCAUUAGAUAGUAGGCGGGGUAACGGCCCACCUAGUCUUCGAUGGAUAGGGGUUCUGAGAGGAAGGUCCCCCACAUUGGAACUGAGACACGGUCCAAACUCCUACGGGAGGCAGCAGUGAGGAAUAUUGGUCAAUGGGCGAGAGCCUGAACCAGCCAAGUAGCGUGAAGGAUGACUGCCCUAUGGGUUGUAAACUUCUUUUAUAAAGGAAUAAAGUCGGGUAUGGAUACCCGUUUGCAUGUACUUUAUGAAUAAGGAUCGGCUAACUCCGUGCCAGCAGCCGCGGUAAUACGGAGGAUCCGAGCGUUAUCCGGAUUUAUUGGGUUUAAAGGGAGCGUAGGCGGACGCUUAAGUCAGUUGUGAAAGUUUGCGGCUCAACCGUAAAAUUGCAGUUGAUACUGGGUGUCUUGAGUACAGUAGAGGCAGGCGGAAUUCGUGGUGUAGCGGUGAAAUGCUUAGAUAUCACGAAGAACUCCGAUUGCGAAGGCAGCUUGCUGGACUGUAACUGACGCUGAUGCUCGAAAGUGUGGGUAUCAAACAGGAUUAGAUACCCUGGUAGUCCACACAGUAAACGAUGAAUACUCGCUGUUUGCGAUAUACAGUAAGCGGCCAA
rnacentral:rRNA from 1 species